AUUGAACGCUGGCGGCAUGCCUUACACAUGCAAGUCGAACGGCAGCGGGCCUUCGGGUGCCGGCGAGUGGCGAACGGGUGAGUAAUGCAUCGGAACGUGCCAUUGAGUGGGGGAUAACGUAGCGAAAGUUACGCUAAUACCGCAUAUUCUGUGAGCAGGAAAGCAGGGGGCCGCAAGGCCUUGCGCUCUUUGAGCGGCCGAUGUCAGAUUAGCUAGUUGGUGAGGUAAAGGCUUACCAAGGCGACGAUCUGUAGCGGGUCUGAGAGGAUGAUCCGCCACACUGGAACUGAGACACGGUCCAGACUCCUACGGGAGGCAGCAGUGGGGAAUUUUGGACAAUGGGCGCAAGCCUGAUCCAGCCAUGCCGCGUGAGUGAAGAAGGCCU
rnacentral:rRNA from 1 species